AGAGUUUGAUCCUGGCUCAGAACGAACGCUGGCGGCAGGCCUAACACAUGCAAGUCGAGCGCCCGCAAGGGAGCGGCAGACGGGUGAGUAACGCGUGGGAACGUGCCCUUUGGUUCGGAAUAUUCCCGGGAAACUGGGAGCAAAACCGGAUAAGCCCUUCGGGGGAAAGUUUACGCCAAAGGAUCGGCCCGCGUUAGAUUAGGUAGUUGGUGGGGUAACGGCCUACCAAGCCUACGAUCUAUAGCUGAUCUGAGAGGAUGAUCAGCCACACUGGGACUGAGACACGGCCCAGACUCCCACGGGAGGCAGCAGUGGGGAAUCUUGGACAAUGGGCGCAAGCCUGAUCCAGCCAUGCCGCGUGGAUGACUGAAGGCCCUAGGGUUGUAAAGUCCUUUCGACGGGGACGAUAAUGACGGUACCCGUAGAAGAAGCCCCGGCUAACUUCGUGCCAGCAGCCGCGGUAAUACGAAGGGGGCUAGCGUUGUUCGGAUUUACUGGGCGUAAAGGGCGCGUAGGCGGAUUUUUAAGUCGGGGGUGAAAUCCCGGAGCUCAACUCCGGAACUGCCUUCGAUACUGAAAGUCUGGAGCACGGUAGAGGUGAGUGGAAUUCCGAGUGUAGCGGUGAAAUGCGUAGA
rnacentral:rRNA from 1 species